UUUACAGUAUUUGCCAGGAGGGAUGCAGUUCUCUUGGGAAAUUGGUGAGAGUAACAGAGGCAAGGACCAAUACGGAAACAUUGUUUUAUAUGAUCAUUCUCGCCUCUUAUUGGAGGAAAUGGAGGGUGAUAAAAACUUCAGUUACAUCAAUGCAAGCUACAUUCCGGACGCAGAAAAAAGGAAUGUGCAGCAGUUUCAUUACGUCACUUGGCCAGACAAAGGUGACUUGAAUUUAGG